GCGUAGGCAGCAAGCGUUGUUCGGAAUUACUGGGCGUAAAGAGUGUGUAGGCGGUGCUCUAAGUUUGGUGUGAAAUCUCCCGGCUCAACUGGGAGGGUGCAUCGAAAACUGGAGUGCUCGAGGGUGGGAGAGGUAAGCGGAAUUCCUGGUGUAGCGGUGAAAUGCGUAGAUAUCAGGAGGAACACCUGUGGUGUAGACAGCUUACUGGACCACUUCUGACGCUGAGACACGAAAGCGUGGGUAGCAAACAGGA
rnacentral:rRNA from 1 species